UUUCUACUCCCUCCGUCCGAAAAUACUUGUCAUCAAAAUGGAUAAAAAGAGAUGUAUCUAAAACUAAAAUACGUCUAGAUACAUUUCCUUUUAUCCAUUUUGAUGACAAGUAUUUUCGGACGUAGGGAGUAUUUG
rnacentral:pre_miRNA from 1 species